AACGACUCUGGAUUCCUGGUGCUGGAAGAGCACAGCAGUUCAGGCAGCAUCCGAGGAGCAGCGAAAUCGACGUUUCGGGGAACAUCAGGUGUAAAAUCACAAGCAGACAGUGCAAUGGGAGGUGGUUCUUAUGGCACAGUGAUAUUGUGAACAAGGAACUCCCAGAGGCUUCCUUUGAGCUAGGAGGCCUGGGUUCAAGUCGCAUCAGCUCCAGAGGCAAGCAACGAAAGUGUAUUUUACAAGAUUGAAAGAUCCUUCUAGAAUUCCAGAUAAAAGUCGUCCUGCUCCCAUUCGCUCCACUACAUUGGCAAGAUGCUGUGCUGUGCAUUUUCUGACCACAGCAUUAAG